rnacentral:lncRNA from 1 species
AAGAAGAGACCCGAGUACCCAUCUACCCGACAUCUGUGUCGUCGUUCCUCUCCUCGUUCCCCUCGCCCUCCUCUGCCCGAACUUGCGCCGCGGCCGCGCAUCGAGCUCGGAGCCUCCUCGCACAUCCAGCUCCGCGCCUCCGCCGCGCCCCGCACGGCCGCAAAUCCGCGCCCCCGCGCUCGUGUCGUGAACUCGUGAUGGAGAUUGAAGAGGUGCUGUAGACGCUGCCGUAGCCUGGAGAUUGCAGAUCACGCUGAAGACCUACUGUAGCCUGGAUAUUGAAGUAUGGCUGUGAACUAAUCUGUGGCCGUAUGGUUGUUGUAGCCUGCAGGUCAGCCUGUGAUCUAUGAAGAUUUUUGUUGCAUGCAUCCAUAUGCUGUGUAUGUAUGGCCUGUUGAAGUGUAUUCGCAAGUUUUUCAUCUUCUACUGUGAUUUGUGCUUUUGAAAUGGUCAAAUUCUUUCAACAAUAUGAAAAAUUGCAUGUUCCGACGCACUGUGUUGCUGGGCUCGUCGAGCUCGCGAGCUCGGCCCGAGGUUCGUCAAGGCCCGAGCCGAGCCUCAUGUUCAGGCUUGAAAUCAGUUUCGGGCCGAGCCGAGCUCGGCUCGGCUGGUGUCGAGGCCGAAACAGAAGUGACGG